UUUGGCCCACCGUAUUAGAACAAAUAAUAUUAAUUUAAUUCUCUCCGGUGUUUAGUGUAGAUAGUGUUCUUAAUCUCAUAAAUCACAGUAAUCUGUCUAAUUGCACCAUUGUGCCAGCUGCAACCCUGUACGGUCUGUCUGUACUGUCUGUCUGGACCAACUUCUGGACCACUUAAAGUGGAUGCUCAACACGGUGAUUAGCCCUUUGUGGAUUAACAUCCGGGCCUACGGACAAAAAAUCUUGGCGUUCUUUCAAUUUU
rnacentral:lncRNA from 1 species